CCAGACUCCUACGGGAGGCAGCAGUGGGGAAUAUUGCACAAUGGGGGGAACCCUGAUGCAGCGACGCCGCGUGAGUGAAGAAGUAUUUCGGUAUGUAAAGCUCUGUCAGCAGGGAAGAAGAAAGACGGUACCUGACCAAGAAGCCCCGGCUAACUACGUGCCAGCAGCCGCGGUAAUACGUAGGGGGCAAGCGUUAUCCGGAUUUACUGGGUUUAAAGGGUGCGCAGGCGGAGGCACAAGUCAGCGGUAAAAUCGCGGGGCUCAACCUCGCUCCGCCGUUGAAACUGGCGUUCUUGAGUGGGCGAGAAGUAUGCGGAAUGCGUGGUGUAGCGGUGAAAUGCAUAGAUAUCACGCAGAACUCCGAUUGCGAAGGCAGCAUACCGGCGCCCAACUGACGCUGAAGCACGAAAGCGUGGGUAUCGAACAGGAUUAGAUACCCUAGUAG
rnacentral:rRNA from 1 species